rnacentral:sRNA from 1 species
GCCGGGCGUGGUGGCUCACGCCUGUAAUCCCAGCUACUCAGGAGGCUGAGGCAAGAGAAUCGCUUGAACCUGGGAGGCACAGGUUGCAGUGAGCUGAGAUCACGCCACUGCACUCUAGCCUGGGCGACAAAGCGAGACUCCGUCUCAA